CAGCCGCCACGGGAAAACGAAGGGGGCUAGCGUUGCUCGGAAUGACUGGGCGUAAAGGGCGCGUAGGCGGAUUGUUUAGUUAGGCGUGAAAUUCCUGGGCUUAACCUGGGGACUGCGCUUAAUACAGGCAGUCUAGAGUGAGGAAGAGGGUUGUGGAAUUCCCAGUGUAGAGGUGAAAUUCGUAGAUAUUGGGAAGAACACCGGUGGCGAAGGCGGCAACCUGGUCCUUGACUGACGCUGAGGCGCGAAAGCGUGGGGAGCAAACAGGAUUAGAUACCCCUGUAGUCCCUGUCUCUUAUAC
rnacentral:rRNA from 1 species